rnacentral:rRNA from 1 species
GACGAACGCUGGCGGCGUGCUUAACACAUGCAAGUCGAACGGAAAGGCCCUGCUUUUGUGGGGUGCUCGAGUGGCGAACGGGUGAGUAACACGUGAGUAACCUGCCCUUGACUUUGGGAUAACUUCAGGAAACUGGGGCUAAUACCGGAUAGGAGCUCCUGCUGCAUGGUGGGGGUUGGAAAGUUUCGGCGGUUGGGGAUGGACUCGCGGCUUAUCAGCUUGUUGGUGGGGUAGUGGCUUACCAAGGCUUUGACGGGUAGCCGGCCUGAGAGGGUGACCGGCCACAUUGGGACUGGGAUACGGCCCAGACUCCUACGGGAGGCAGCAGUGGGGAAUAUUGCACGAUGGGCGGAAGCCUGAUGCAGCAACGCCGCGUGCGGGAUGACGGCCUUCGGGUUGUAAACCGCUUUCGCCUGUGACGAAGCGUGAGUGACGGUAAUGGGUACAGAAGCACCGGCUAACUACGUG